GUGGAAGCCUGGUCUCCCCGCUCGAAGGG
rnacentral:piRNA from 1 species